rnacentral:rRNA from 1 species
AUUGAACGCUGGCGGCAUGCUUUACACAUGCAAGUCGAACGGCAGCGCGGGCUUCGGCCUGGCGGCGAGUGGCGAACGGGUGAGUAAUGCAUCGGAACGUGCCCAGUAGUGGGGGAUAGCCCGGCGAAAGCCGGAUUAAUACCGCAUACGACCUGAGGGUGAAAGCGGGGGACCGAAAGGCCUCGCGCUAUUGGAGCGGCCGAUGUCGGAUUAGCUAGUUGGUGGGGUAAAGGCUUACCAAGGCGACGAUCCGUAGCUGGUCUGAGAGGACGACCAGCCACACUGGGACUGAGACACGGCCCAGACUCCUACGGGAGGCAGCAGUGGGGAAUUUUGGACAAUGGGGGCAACCCUGAUCCAGCCAUGCCGCGUGCGGGAAGAAGGCCUUCGGGUUGUAAACCGCUUUUGUUCGGGAAGAAAUCCUCUGGGCUAAUACCCCGGGGGGAUGACGGUACCGGAAGAAUAAGCUCCGGCUAACUACGUG